rnacentral:rRNA from 1 species
UGGUGGGUAGUUUGACUGGGGCGGUCUCCUCCUAAAGAGUAACGGAGGAGCACGAAGGUUGGCUAAUCCUGGUCGGACAUCAGGAGGUUAGUGCAAUGGCAUAAGCCAGCUUGACUGCGAGCGUGACGGCGCGAGCAGGUGCGAAAGCAGGUCAUAGUGAUCCGGUGGUUCUGAAUGGAAGGGCCAUCGCUCAACGGAUAAAAGGUACUCCGGGGAUAACAGGCUGAUACCGCCCAAGAGUUCAUAUCGACGGCGGUGUUUGGCACCUCGAUGUCGGCUCAUCACAUCCUGGGGCUGAAGUAGGUCCCAAGGGUAUGGCUGUUCGCCAUUUAAAGUGGUACGCGAGCUGGGUUUAGAACGUCGUGAGACAGUUCGGUCCCUAUCUGCCGUGGGCGCUGGAGAAUUGAGGGGGGCUGCUCCUAGUACGAGAGGACCGGAGUGGACGCAUCACUGGUGUUCGGGUUGUCAUGCCAAUGGCACUGCCCGGUAGCUAAAUGCGGAAGAGAUAAGUGCUGAAAGCAUCUAAGCACGAAACUUGCCCCGAGAUGAGUUCUCCCUGACUCCUUGAGA